AGCUGCGCAGUGCCCCUUCAGCGAAGAAGGAGGAGGAAGAGAAGGGGCUCCGUUCCUCCUCCCGCUUCGCUGAAGGGGCGCUGCGCAGCU
rnacentral:miRNA from 1 species